AUACACCAGUGAUGACUUUAUACAUCCUUACCUACAUUAUCUGAAUGUGCAGUGAUAAAGAAAUCAAUUCUGAGGUGUGU